UUCUAGAGCUGAAUGAGAUCUGCGUCCAUCCAGGACUUCAGGUUUCUGACUACACCGGGUUUUGAGUAAUGUAUGUGGUCUCUGAUGUAGAGGUACUUCAGUUCAGAUGGGGGAAGUUAAGUUUGCCUUAGAGGGUUACAGAACUGAUGAAAUUCCAGAGAAUGAAGUCCAGCUAUGCUUUGGCAGAUGGGACAGCUCACACCCACGACCUCUGAGUUACAUACAUCUCCAGCUAUAAUUUGGGGGGGGGGCUAGAUGAUAUCUGUGUACUACAUAUGGCUAGCUACUUGCUAAUUAAAAAGUAAGUGGUUUUCAGACAUAUCUAGUUGGAUGGUAGCCAUCUUAGAAUGUUCCAGAAAGUUUAGGAUACUGCUUUGUAAAAGCAAAGGUUUAUAAAGACUUUUUAAAUUUAUUUUUAUUAUUUAUUUAUUUAUUUUUUAAUAUUUUUUAUUUUUAUUUUUUAUCCCUAUAGUAAAUGUUGUUAGUACUGUCUUUGGCUUUUGCAACUAUGUUGCUUCUGUGUGUGAAAAGUAAUGUAUCGGCAAAUGAACAUGGCUAUAUUCCAAUAAAACAUAACUGAUGAACACUGACAUUGGGAUUUCAUUGGCAAUUUCAGAGUCAACGUUCCCAAAUGUUUGAAAGCUUAAGAUCUUCCCAAGGCACAUUGACAA
rnacentral:lncRNA from 1 species